rnacentral:misc_RNA from 1 species
UGAAAUUUGAUUUUUCUCAUAAAAUUUGAUGUGGAAUCACUCAAUUGUAUUUAAAUUUUAUAUGACUGUAUAUGAAUGCACAGAUUUUACAAGAGAAACUACUAGGCUAAUGUGGUUUACAUAGCAAUAUCUCUACUACUACUAGUAGGGUCAUUGCAAUAGUGCUAGCAACAGUUGUUGACUCAACUACUUGACAGUCAAUCAUAGGUUCCCUA